CCUACGGGGGACAGCAGUGGGGAAUAUUGCGCAAUGGGCGAAAGCCUGACGCAGCGACGCCGCGUGAGGGAUGAAGGUCUUCGGAUCGUAAACCUCUGUCAGCAGGGAAGAACGGUCACUGUGCUAAUCAGCAGUGAAUUGACGGUACCUGCAAAGGAAGCACCGGCUAACUCCGUGCCCGCAGCCGCGGUAAUACGGAGGGUGCGAGCGUUAAUCGGAAGUACUGGGCGUAAAGCGCUCGUAGGAGGUAUGUCAAGUCAAGGGUGAAAUCCCCGCGCUCAACGUGGGAACUGCCUUUGAAACGGGCAAACUGGAGUGUGUGAGAGGAUAGUUGAAUUCCAGGUGUAGGAGUGAAAUCCGUAGAUAUCUGGAGGAACAUCAGUGGCGAAGGCGACUAUCUGGCACAUAACUGACGCUGAGGAGCGAAAGCGUGGGUAGCAAACAGGAUUAGAUACCCGUGUAGUC
rnacentral:rRNA from 1 species